GUGCAUUUCCACUCGUCUGAGGAAAAAUCAAUUGCGAUAUUUUGGUGAGAAAAGAAGUGUUCGUACGUUCGAAAAAUCAAUGCGGCUGAUCGAUCGACAUCGAAAAUACACAAUUUCGUUCCCAGAUUCAUACGCACUCAACGUUAAAAAGGCUGACAUCUACAAUGAUCGGCAAGUAUUGGUGUUUCCGUGCUCAGAUACCUUAUUCAGUUUAUUUAUCAAGAAGGGCAUAGAAAAUUGCUUAAUUUUGAUCAUCUCGCACACCUGGUUAUCGAUGGCUUGGACUUCAUUCUAGAAUCUAAGGUACCCAUUGAAGAAAGGCCGGAUCUUUUGAUGCGUAUACUAAUCACAUCAAGCCUGACAGUUCGCUGUUUUUCAUUCAAGGAAAUGUACAAGAUUUUGUACAAUUGCGGCAGAAUGACAUAAUCGUGCAAGUUUCUCGAUCCAAUAACCGCAGACUGAUUAUUGAAUUCAGACAAUUCGGAUCGAU